GCAGUCGAGCGGACAGAUGGGAGCUUGCUCCCUGAUGUUAGCGGCGGACGGGUGAGUAACACGUGGGUAACCUGCCUGUAAGACUGGGAUAACUCCGGGAAACCGGGGCUAAUACCGGAUGGUUGUUUGAACCGCAUGGUUCAGACAUAAAAGGUGGCUUCGGCUACCACUUACAGAUGGACCCGCGGCGCAUUAGCUAGUUGGUGAGGUAACGGCUCACCAAGGCGACGAUGCGUAGCCGACCUGAGAGGGUGAUCGGCCACACUGGGACUGAGACACGGCCCAGACUCCUACGGGAGGCAGCAGUAGGGAAUCUUCCGCAAUGGACGAAAGUCUGACGGAGCAACGCCGCGUGAGUGAUGAAGGUUUUCGGAUCGUAAAGCUCUGUUGUUAGGGAAGAACAAGUGCCGUUCAAAUAGGGCGGCACCUUGACGGUACCUAACCAGAAAGCCACGGCUAACUACGUGCCAGCAGCCGCGGUAAUACGUAGGUGGCAAGCGUUGUCCGGAAUUAUUGGGCGUAAAGGGCUCGCAGGCGGUUUCUUAAGUCUGAUGUGAAAGCCCCCGGCUCAACCGGGGAGGGUCAUUGGAAACUGGGGAACUUGAGUGCAGAAGAGGAGAGUGGAAUUCCACGUGUAGCGGUGAAAUGCGUAGAGAUGUGGAGGAACACCAGUGGCGAAGGCGACUCUCUGGUCUGUAACUGACGCUGAGGAGCGAAAGCGUGGGAGCGAACAGGAUUAGAUACCCUGGUAGUCCACGCCGUAACGAUGAGUGCUAAGUGUUAGGGGGUUUCCGCCCCUUAGUGCUGCAGCUAACGCAUUAAGCACUCCGCCUGGGGAGUACGGUCGCAAGACUGAAACUCAAGGAAUUGACGGGGGCCCGCACAAGCGGUGGAGCAUGUGGUUUAAUUCGAAGCAACGCGAGAACCUUACCAGGUCUUGACAUCCUCUGACAAUCCUAGAGAU
rnacentral:rRNA from 1 species